rnacentral:rRNA from 1 species
AGAGUUUGAUCCUGGCUCAGAUUGAACGCUGGCGGCAGGCCUAACACAUGCAAGUCGAACGGUAACAGGAAGCAGCUUGCUGCUUUGCUGACGAGUGGCGGACGGGUGAGUAAUGUCUGGGAAACUGCCCGAUGGAGGGGGAUAACUACUGGAAACGGUAGCUAAUACCGCAUAACGUCGCAAGACCAAAGAGGGGGACCUUCGGGCCUCUUGCCAUCGGGUGUGCCCAGAUGGGAUUAGCUAGUUGGUGAGGUAACGGCUCACCAAGGCGACGAUCCCCAGCUGGUCUGAGAGGAUGACCAGCCACACUGGAACUGAGACACGGUCCAGACUCCUACGGGAGGCAGCAGUGGGGAAUAUUGCACAAUGGGCGCAAGCCUGAUGCAGCCAUGCCGCGUGUAUGAAGAAGGCCUUCGGGUUGUAAAGUACUUUCAGCGGGGAGGAAGGGGAUGUGGUUAAUAACCGCAUUCAUUGACGUUACCCGCAGAAGAAGCACCGGCUAACUCCGUGCCAGCAGCCGCGGUAAUA